rnacentral:rRNA from 1 species
AACGGUUUAUGUUUCAAAUGAUUUAUCGCCGUAGGAUGGGACUGCGGCCUAUCAGUUUUGUUGGUGAGGUAAUGGCCCACCAAGACUAUUACAGGUACGGGCUCUGAGAGGAGUAGCCCGGAGAUGGGUACUGAGACACGGACCCAGGCCCUAUGGGGCGCAGCAGGCGAGAAAACUUUGCAAUGUGCGAAAGCACGACAAGGUUAAUCCGAGUGGUUUCUGCUAAAGAAACCUUUUGCUAGUCCUAGAAACACUAGUGAAUAAGGGGUGGGCAAGUUCUGGUGUCAGCCGCCGCGGUAAAACCAGCACCUCAAGUGGUCAGGAUGAUUAUUGGGCCUAAAGCAUCCGUAGCUCGUUUUGUAAGUUUUCGGUUAAAUCCAUACGCUCAACGUAUGGGCUGCCGGGAAUACUGCAUAACUAGGAAGUGGGAGAGGUAGACGGUACUCGGUAGGAAGGGGUAAAAUCCUUUGAUCUAUUGAUGACCACCUGUGGCGAAGGCGGUCUACCAGAACACGUUCGACGGUGAGGGAUGAAAGCUGGGGGAGCAAACCGGAUUAGAUACCCGGGUAGUCCCAGCUGUAAACUAUGCAAACUCAGUGAUGCAUUGGCUUGUGGCCAAUGCGGUGCUGCAGGGAAGCCGUUAAGUUUGCCGCCUGGGAAGUACGUACGCAAGUAUGAAACUUAAAGGAAUUGGCGGGGGAGCACCACAAGGGGUGAAGCC